UAUAGAGGUCUCAAGCGUUGUUCGGAUUCAUUGGGCGUAAAGGGUGCGUAGGCGGCGCGGUAAGUCGGGUGUGAAAUCUUGGAGCUUAACUCCGAAACUGCAUUCGAUACUGCCGUGCUUGAGGACUGGAGAGGAGACUGGAAUUUACGGUGUAGCGGUGAAAUGCGUAGAUAUCGUAAGGAAGACCAGUGGCGAAGGCGGGUCUCUGGACCGAUACUGACGCUGAGGAGCGAAAGCGUGGGGAGCGAACAGG
rnacentral:rRNA from 1 species